rnacentral:rRNA from 1 species
GACGAACGCUGGCGGCGUGCUUAACACAUGCAAGUCGAACGAAGUGGCGAACGGGUGAGUAACGCGUAAUCAACCUGCCCUUCAGAGGGGGACAACAGUUGGACACGACCGCUAAUACCGCAUACUGAAGGAGGAGAAUGCGGCUGAUUAGCUAGUUGGAGGGGUAACGGCCCACCAAGGCGAUGAUCAGUAGGCGGUCUGAGAGGGUGAACGGCCACAUUGGGACUGAGACACGGCCCCGACCCCUUCGGGAGGCAGCAGUGGGGAAUCUUCCGCAAUGGACGAAAGUCUGACGGAGCAACGCCGCGUGAGUGAUGACGGCCUUCGGGUUGUAAAGCUCUGUUAAUCGGGACGCGGUACCGGAAUAGAAAGCCACGGCUAACUACGUGCCAGCAGCCGCGGUAAUUC